rnacentral:rRNA from 1 species
UACGAAGGGGGCUAGCGUUGUUCGGAUUUACUGGGCGUAAAGGGCGCGUAGGCGGCUCGUUUAGUCGGGUGUGAAAUCCCGGGGCUCAACCCCGGAACUGCAUUCGAUACUGGCGGGCUAGAGACCGGAAGAGGUGGGUGGAAUUCCUGGUGUAGCGGUGAAAUGCGCAGAUAUCAGGAGGAACACCGGUAGCGAAGGCGGGUCUCUGGGCCGAUACUGACGCUGAGGAGCGAAAGCGUGGGGAGCGAACAGG